UCCGGUUCAACACCGGCAGUCUUCCUAGAGUCCUCGACAUAACUCGUUAGUAACUAAGAACAAGGGUUGCGCUCGUUACGGGACUUAACCCAACAUCUCACGACACGAGCUGACGACAGCCAUGCAGCACCUGUGCAAGCUGGUAUUGCUACCUCGUCAGACUUUCAUCCUUCUACUACUUGCAUGUCAAGGCCAGGUAAGGUUCUUCGCGUUGCAUCGAAUUAAGCCACAUACUCCACCGCUUGUGCAGGCCCCCGUCAAUUUCUUUGAGUUUUAAUCUUGCGACCGUACUUCCCAGGCGGCACGUUUAUCGCGUUGGCUACGCUACAAGUGGGGUCGAUUCCACUUACAGCAAACGUGCACCGUUUACAGCUAGGACUAC
rnacentral:misc_RNA from 1 species